CCUAUGUGCUCGGGCAACGCAGGGCCCAAAGCUGAUCAAUCCAAUAUUGGUUCCCACCUGCCUUUCAUUUUGAGGCAGUUUUUGUUUCAUUGGGGGUCUUUCUGUUUUGUGCCAUCCGAAUGGACAAUAUGAAACAAAAACACAAAUGAGACAAAUAUUGCACACAUCUCUAAUGUGAAGUUUGUAAAUCUGGAAACCUGGAUAUACAAUUCAAUAGCUGUGGUCUUUUCCUUUAUUUCAAUUUCAAUUUCCUUUAUUUCAGUUUCAAUUUUGCUACAUAGAUAAUUGUUUUCUGAAAAAUGUGGCUCGUUGUGGAAACAGGGAUUGGUGAUAAAGCAUCGGUGGAGACAUCUUCUUCCUGUGAUGGCUCUUUCAGAGAUGAAUUUACCUGCCGAGGGGUAGAUUUCCCUCACUUCCUGUCGUUCUUAACUGCUCCCGGGACCUUCCCAACAGCCUAUUAGCAGGUUGAUGAUAGAAAGACUUGCUGUAAGUUUCAAGUGCAGUAAUAAGCUUGCAUAUACCCAGCUGAAGCAGGGAAGAGCCAAUUAUAAUUAAUACACAAUUAUGGACCUCGAUUAUUACUGCAGAAGGAAUGCCAGUGGGAGAAUGGCAUGUAAGGGCUUUGCUUUCACAUACAGUGAAUAAUACUGUCAACUAAAACUGAGUGGAACGUGCCUGGGCCUUGACUGGAGGGAGAGAUGUACUGUAAGGAGUCUACAGACAACAUGACAGGCUUGGAUGAAGUUGAGAAGAGCUGUCUGGUAGCAACUGACAUUGAACAAAAGAUGUGCCUUUGCUAUAGAGAAUCUGUUUCACACCAUUAAACCAAAUCACUGCAACCUUCCAUCACAGAUACAGACAUCGGGUUGAACAAAUGCUAUAAGAACAAGGUAUCAAUUUGCAUGAGUCAGCUUCUUCUGGAAACAAUAAAGAUACCUAUCUUGGGCAA